UACGAAGGGUGCAAGCGUUACUUGGAAUUACUGGGCGUAAAGCGUGCGUAGGUGGUUGUUUAAGUCUGUUGUGAAAGCCCUGGGCUCAACCUGGGAACUGCAGUGGAAACUGGACAACUAGAGUGUGGUAGAGGGUAGCGGAAUUCCCGGUGUAGCAGUGAAAUGCGUAGAGAUCGGGAGGAACAUCCAUGGCGAAGGCAGCUACCUGGACCAACACUGACACUGAGGCACGAAAGCGUGGGGAGCAAACAGG
rnacentral:rRNA from 1 species